rnacentral:tRNA from 1 species
UGCCCCGUGGUGUAACGGUAGCACAACAGGUUCUGGUCCUGUUUGUCUAGGUUCAAAUCCUAGCGGGGUAACCA